CACUGCUGUUUAACAGACUGAGAAUAGCAUUCCUGAGGUUUAAAUCUAAAGCUAAAGUCUCAGAAUCCAAACCCCUUUGCUUUUAUUUUAAGGAAGGAAUGGGUGAGGAGGGGGCACCACAACUCAGAAGAAGUCUGUUAGGCAACUCCCAAUGAAAGGAUGCAGUAGAGUUGGUAUGUUUGUGGAUUCUGCCUUGUUGCAGGAAAAGACAAAUGACAGGAGGCAGCAACAACAGCGAUUACUCGUGCUCUUCUCCUAACUGAAGGAGACAGUGACAGAGGAGGUGAAGCUGAGAGCGGGGAGGCUCACUCGUCAGGGAAAACAGACAGGCGUCGAACAUAGAGCAUACUAUCCAUCACCCCGCCAGGCGCCAGACUACAGUACCCACAAUGCUCUAACAAUCCAUCAAGCAGUGCAGCUUCAUAUGACAGUCGCAGAAAAACAUUUUGAAAGAUUUUUGAGCGCCAUGUACCACAGAGAAUCUGUUCCAGGGUUUUGCUACGACCUGUCGUUCACAACAUGCCCGAAGAAAAAAUGUGCAAGAACACGUUCUUUGUACUCCACAGGUUCAUCGAGUGGUCUAUGACUAUGACACUUCCUGCGUACAGACUUGCCCAUUUUUCACCUGCAGACAGCUUGUAUCCACCUGUACAGGCAGUUGUGACUUGUAGGGAAAAAUCAAUUUGGCA